rnacentral:lncRNA from 1 species
AGGACCUUGCUUUAGUCCUGAUAUCAGUUCUGUCACUCUCCCUUCACAGGUAAGAUUGAGAGUUCAGAAAUGUUAUGCUGGAGAGAGAGAUCUGGACUCAGGCAAGUUUGCAAGUUUGUAAAUAUUUGUGCCAACAUGAAGAUGGCAAAACACCGUCUCCCUGGAAUUAGCAUAGUUGGAUCCAAAAGGUGGCUCAGGACACUGCUCAAAGGGAUUUGGUGACAAGCAUCCAGGCUGUAACCUAAGAGAGAAGAGGAGUCUGGUAACAUUGACCCAAGUAUUUCCAAGCACUUGUCAGAACCCUCCUCUGUGACACUCUUUUCUGCCAAGGACCCCACUAUCAUCUGAGUCUCAUGCAACCCAUCUAUGAUGGACAUGUCAUCAUUUCUGUGUGUGGCCUGGGGAUGGCACUGAGCUGGCACACAUCCAGUCUGAAACUUCUUUGUGGUUUAAGUUACACACAUGCACCUAUAGAGCAUUUGAUUGGCAGAUAAGGAUAAGUCCAUAUUUCAUCUCCAUAGUAACCUUAGUCCUGUAGGCUAAAGUAUAGGAUCCUCCAAGGUAGAAGGUCAGCACUGAGCUAGAGAAGGGUAGGGGAUGAAGGAGAAAGAGAUUUGACAGUCUUCACUCUCAAAAAUGAAAGAGGAGAAGGAGGAGGCCUUU